GAUGAACGCUGGCGGCGUGCCUAAUACAUGCAAGUCGAGCGAACGGACGAGAAGCUUGCUUUUCUGAUGUUAGCGGCGGACGGGUGAGUAACACGUGGAUAACCUACCUAUAAGACUGGGAUAACUUCGGGAAACCGGAGCUAAUACCGGAUAAUAUUUUGAACCGCAUGGUUCAAAAGUGAAAGACGGUCUUGCUGUCACUUAUAGAUGGAUCCGCGCUCCAUUAGCUAGUUGGUAAGGUAACGGCUUACCAAGGCAACGAUGCAUAGCCGACCUGAGAGGGUGAUCGGCCACACUGGAACUGAGACACGGUCCAGACUCCUACGGGAGGCAGCAGUAGGGAAUCUUCCGCAAUGGGCGAAAGCCUGACGGAGCAACGCCGCGUGAGUGAUGAAGGUCUUCGGAUCGUAAAACUCUGUUAUUAGGGAAGAACAUAUGUGUAAGUAACUGUGCACAUCUUGACGGUACCUAAUCAGAAAGCCACGGCUAACUACGUG
rnacentral:rRNA from 1 species